GACGCUACCGAGGGCGCUUAGCCCUUGACUAUCACCUUGACUACGUGCACCUUUUGUUGUUUCCUCGGCAGGUCACCUGCCGCCAGGAACCCCCUAAACCUUUUGUAAUAGCAUCCAAACUUCUGAAAACAAAUCAAAUUAUUUACAACUUUUAACAAUGGAUCUCUUGGUUCUGGCAUCGAUGAAGAACGCAGCGAAAUGCGAUAAGUAGUGUGAAUUGCAGAAUUCAGUGAAUCAUCGAAUCUUUGAACGCACAUUGCGCCCCAUGGUAUUCCGUGGGGCAUGCCUGUUCGAGCGUCAUUUACCCCCUCAAGCUCCGCUUGGUGUUGGGCGUCUGUCCCGCUUCGCGCGCGGACUCGCCCCAAAGGUAUUGGCAGCGGUCGUGCCAGCUUCUCGCGCAGCACAUUGCGCUUCUCGAGGCACCGGCGGGCCCGCGUCCAUCAAGCUCACCCCCCAGUUUGACCUCGGAUCAGGUAGGGAUACCCGCUGAACUUAAGCAUAUCAAUAAGCGGAGGA
rnacentral:rRNA from 1 species